rnacentral:lncRNA from 1 species
AAUCAUGUAUAAUCCUUCAUCUCAACACCCCCCCUCAAGUUGGAGGGGGAAACCACCUGCAACUUGGAUAGCAGUGGAUGAAGCACAGUUCCAGGCAAUGGCUUAGUGAGCAGGUCAACCAGUUGACGAGAAGUAGGAACAUGAAGUAGCUUGAGAAAACCACUUUGUAGCAGGUCCCGAACAAAAUGGCAGUCCACCUCGAUGUGUUUUGUACUUUCAUGAAAAACAGGACUGUUAGCUAUAUGUACAGCAGCCUGACUGUCACAAUAUACAGAAAAAGGAGUAGAAACAGAUACCCCAAGAUCAACCAACAACGAGAAAGCCAAGUCAACUAAGCAACAACUUUGCUGAGGGCUCUAUAUUCUGCCUCAGCAGAAGACAGAGAGACAAAAGGUUGCUUCUUCGAUUUCCAACUAAUCAGACAACCACCCAAAAGCACACAAAAUCCAGUAACAGAUCGUCUAGUAUCAGGGCAUGCAGCCCAGUCACUAUCAGAAUAGCCAGUAACAGAGAAAUCAGUAUGGGCAGAAUAAAAUAAACCCAUAGAAGGAGUGCCUUUGAGGUAUCUCAAAACAUGCAAGGCAGCAGUCAUAUGGGGAAGUCUGGGGCAUUUGAGGAAUUGACUCAGAUGUUGAACAGCAAAGCAUAUGUCAGGCCUAGUGUGAGUCAGAAAUAACAGCUUACCAACAAGACUCCUAUACUGAUCAGGAGAGGUUAAAAGGUCACCAGAANNNNNUAUUAAAAUAGACUCCUGUACUGGUCAGGAGAGGAUAAAAGGUCACCAGAAUCAGCAUGAAGUUUGAUAUUAAUGUCCAAAGGAGAAACAACAGAGGAGAUAUUUGCACAGUCAAACUGAUGCAAUAAAUCAGAAAUAUACUUAUACUGAUAAAGGAUCAUUCCACCAGGAACAACUGACAUUUCAAGGCCCAAAAAAUAAUGCAGAGAACCUAGAUCUUUGAUUUUAAACUGAUCAUCCAGAAAUAGUUUCACGGCAGUAAUUUCAUCACUGUCAUCCCCAGUAAGGAUAAUAUCAUCCACAUAGACUGCGACAACCAUAAGGGAGCCAAGUUUACCUUUGAUGAACAAAGAAUAGUCAUUCAAAGAAUGUUUGUACCCCUUGGAAUAAAGAGCAGAAGACAACUUGGCAUACCAUUGUCUGGAUGCUUGUCUUAGCCCAUAUAGGGAUUUUUUGAGUUUACAAACCAGAGGAGAAGAAGGAGAAGAAGGAGGAGAAAUAGAACCAGAAAUAGGAGCAGACACUGUCAAACCUGGAAGAAGUUUCAUGUAAACUUCCUCAUCCAAAUCUCCAUGGAGAAAAGAAUUAUUGACAUCAAGCUGAAAUAGAGGCAAGUGAUUCUUGACAGCCACAGCAAUAAGGCAUUUCACAGUGGUCAUCUUAAUCACAGGAGAAAAAGUGUCAGUGAAGUCAAUCCCUUCAACUUGUCUAUCACCCCUAAUAACAAGCUUGCUUUAUACCUUUCAACAAGACCAUCAGACUUGUAUUUGAUUUUAUAGACCCACUUAAAGCCAAUGGGUUUCAUACCAGGAGGAAGAGGAAUAAUAUCCCAAGUAUGGUUAGCUUCCAAAGCAUCAAACUCCUAUCUCAUUGCAUUCUGCCAUGCUGGGACAGAUGCAGCUAGAGAGUAAUACAUAGGUUCAGAUUCCAAAGUGGAAGAAGAGGAACCAGAAAAGGUAGGCAGUUGACAGACAUAUCCUUAAGAUAGGAAGGAGGAUUAUGCUGUCUAGUGGACUUUCUAGGAGUGGGAAGAGGAUGUGAAGGGGGUAACACAGGAGGAGGCAGAUCAUGAUUGAAAUAAGGAAGGGAAGAUGGACCAGCAUUAGGAAAAUUAGGUGCAUGAGAAUCAUAAGUAGAAAGAGGAACAGGAGAAUCAGGGGAAGCAUGUAUAGGAAAGUCUGUGUCAGUGAAAUGAUCAGCAGGAGGAAUAGAAGGAAAGGAUGAAGGAGAAGGGUGAGCGGAAGUAGGUUUAUUGUUAAAAGGGAAAUAAGUUUCAUGGAAGAUAACAUCUCUUGAGACAAAACACUUCGGGUGAGAAGAAGUAGGUUUAUUCUUAAAAGGAAAAUAAGUUUCAUGGAAGAUAACAUCUCUUGAGACACAACACUUCUUGGAAACCAAAUUAUACAGUUUAUAGCCCUUUUGGGCAAAGGGGUAACCCAGAAACACACAAGAGUGAGAUCUAGGUUUCAGCUUGUCCCUUUGAGGAAUAGGGACAGCAGCAUAAGCAAGGCAUCCAAAUGCN